rnacentral:rRNA from 1 species
AGUGAACGCUGGCGGUAGGCCUAACACAUGCAAGUCGAACGGCAGCACAGUAAGAGCUUGCUCUUACGGGUGGCGAGUGGCGGACGGGUGAGGAAUACAUCGGAAUCUACUUUUUCGUGGGGGAUAACGUAGGGAAACUUACGCUAAUACCGCAUACGACCUACGGGUGAAAGCAGGGGAUCUUCGGACCUUGCGCGAUUGAAUGAGCCGAUGUCGGAUUAGCUAGUUGGCGGGGUAAAGGCCCACCAAGGCGACGAUCCGUAGCUGGUCUGAGAGGAUGAUCAGCCACACUUGGACUGAGGCACGGUCCAGACUCCUACGGGAGGCAACAGUGGGGAAUUUUUGACAAAGGGCCGAAACCUGAUCCAGCCCUACCGCGUGGGUUGAGGAAGCCCUCCGGUUUUUAAACCCUUUUUUUUGGGAAGAAAAACCGCAAGUUAAAACCCCGCUGUUCUGGCGGUACCCAAAGGAUAAGGUCCGGCUAACUUCGUU